CGUGAGGAACCUGCCUCAAAGAGGGGGACAACAGUUGGAAACGACUGCUAAUACCGCAUAAGCCCACAGCUCGGCAUCGAGCAGAGGGAAAAGGAGUGAUUCGCUUUGAGAUGGCCUCGCGUCCGAUUAGCUAGUUGGUGAGGUAAUGGCCCACCAAGGCGACGAUCAGUAGCCGGUCUGAGAGGAUGAACGGCCACAUUGGGACUGAGACACGGCCCAG
rnacentral:rRNA from 1 species